GAAUUUGAAGCAUCAAGUGUGGAUGAUCUCUCUGAAGUCUCAAUUAGCAAGGGAUUCUAAGUAAAAUCAAGAGAGCAUUUUCUCUUAUUACAGGCAUGUUCUAUGACUGCUCCACAUUAAGAGAAGCCGCUCUAUGCUCUAUGGCCCUCAGAUAUGCGUCUAAACCACAUCAAAUUGUUUCCAGAGUUGUGAAUAUUGAGUUCACUCUUUUAUACAGCAGAGAUGGUUCUUCAAAUCCCAUUUCAAUGGAAACUUGCCGAGUCGAUCUGUCAACACGUCUUGCUUUUAUUGAUAUAUGGGGAGUUACUCUAGGUAUUGCUUGAUGUAAAACAAAUAGUGGAUUUAUUUCUGUAUUUUGAUGAGUUAGG
rnacentral:misc_RNA from 1 species